UACGUAGGUGGCAAGCGUUGUCCGGAAUUAUUGGGCGUAAAGCGCGCGCAGGUGGUUUCUUAAGUCUGAUGUGAAAGCCCACGGCUCAACCGUGGAGGGUCAUUGGAAACUGGGGAGCUUGAGUGCAGGAGAGAAGAGUGGAAUUCCAGGUGUAGCGGUGAAAUGCGUAGAUAUCUGGAGGAACACCGGUGGCGAAGGCGGCGUUCUGGACUGCAACUGACACUGAGAAACGAAAGCCAGGGUAGCAAACGGG
rnacentral:rRNA from 1 species